rnacentral:rRNA from 1 species
UACGGAGGGUGCGAGCGUUGUCCGGAAUCAUUGGGCGUAAAGGGCGCGUAGGUGGCCCGGUCAGCGUGCGGUGAAAGCUCGGGGCUCAACCCCGAGUCGGCCGUGCGAACUGCUGGGCUGGAGCACUGUAGAGGCAGGCGGAAUUCCGGGUGUAGCGGUGGAAUGCGUAGAGAUCCGGAAGAACACCGGUGGCGAAGGCGGCCUGCUGGGCAGUGGCUGACACUGAGGCGCGACAGCG